rnacentral:lncRNA from 1 species
UGGGGGGUGCACGCCGGAAUCGUUGGAUUCCCUUCUAUGUCAGUUUUCUCUAUUCUUGAGCAUAUAUGUAUAUAUAUACCCAUUCAUGCAUAGUAGGGUAGAUACAUGUGGAACUUGGUUUGACUUCAUUUAUAUGUUUCUAACGUAGUUGAACAUAGUGGACGAUAGAACCAAAAUGGACAUGUGUGAUUGGACCCUCAAGUUGUGUGAAUGUGAGGUUGGACUUGGACAAUAGAAAACAAGGGUGACAUUGACAUAGAAACAAGAUUGGCAUUGAGAGAUAAAUCGUUAAACAUAGUUUAACCAAAUUAUAGCAUCAUCACGGGUAUGGCCUUGAGAGUGGCAAGAAUGAAUAGGUAGAGACCUAUCAUGACAUCGGCAUUGUGACCAGUGGCUAUGAAUCCUCAAGUUGGGGAUUAGAUCGAUACUCACAUUACGUCUUGGCUUGAGGGAGGUCGCUCCCCCUCGAGCGGUGCGCUCCGGAGUUGGUCACCACUGGGCGAGGUAAAGUCCCACCAGUUGACGGUCCCUAGGGAGAUUCGAGUCCCCCGUUAUUAAGG